rnacentral:lncRNA from 1 species
CAGGAAGGUCGGCAACUCCAAAUGCGUGUUUUUAAAAAUCGCUCGUGUCCCCGCACCUCAGCCUCGGGCGUGGAAAAUGCGCCUGUGGCUGCGGGAGUGUGCCUGCUUGGGAGGAGGGACUCUGCGCAAAUACCCACACACGAGAGUGUGCGGCUUUCAAGUCGGAGAGGAAAAAACAGCCAAGAGCGGUGGAGUUUAGAAUACCUUCCCUCCCAGGGAUUAGAGGCGGGAGCAGAGACUGGAGGAAUGGGAGAGGGGAAAGGAUGGACAGACAUCUCCCUGCAGUGAACUCCUGGGAGAACAAUCGCCUUUGUUCAAAGCAGGCUGAGAGAGCAGCUUGGGAAGCACCGGAUCCGGGCUCGGGGCAGGUUAGGGCCUGCGUGCACGCGUGAGGUCUCCUGGUGACCAAGGGCCCAGUUUCCUUCAGAAAUGUGGGACAGUUUAGCAAAUCUGAAAAUUGUGUGGACACACACACAAGCUCCUGCUGCUGGAGAAGAGAGGGGAUGCAUGCGUCCGCCUGGCCUGGCCCUCUGGGCCCACGGCCAGAACCCGGAGCUCUAAGCAGACCGCACGGUGCACACUGGGCCGCUGGCUUUCACAAGCUGGCUCUGCACGGGCCACCAGGUGGAAGAACUCUCUGAUCCUCAGGGAAGCCAAAGUCCAGUGGACUCUGCAGGGAACAGCCAAGACAGGCAGCAGGUGCCGGUGUCCCCCAUCUCCUGGAAUAGGGAUUUUAAGGGGCCUGGAAGCUGGUCAGAACAAGAUGCAAGGAAGCGCUGGUUCUUUUACCAGUUCUCGAAGGCGUCUGGGACUCAUGAAAGGGCAAGGGCCACUGUCAGAGCGGAAGACAGGACAGCCAGAGCGAGCACCCGGGUGAAUGUCCCAACACAGGAUGGUCAGCAGGGAACGAAUCCGGGUCCUGCCCAGGGCUCAGGUGUCGGGGGCUGGUGACAGGUGAGAACACGCCUUGGGCUGGUGCUCUCUCUGUGAAACACAACCACACUGUCUCCUGCUGACAGGCAGUUGGGACAAUAAACCAAGGAUUCUUCUGGUCAGAUAAGUGGUUUAGACUGAUAAGAUGAUGCUAUACAUUUGCCAAUGGCUGUCCCCUUUAAGGACUCAAGGUGGAGAUCAUGACAGAUGUGAGUGUCCGGGGAUGCUGUGGAACCUCACUGAGAGCACAAAGGGUGCUGACUUCUUUCCAUGGGGAGAGGUCUCCUUCCUCCGAUGCUUCACCUCGAGCCUCUUCAGCAUCCCCUUCCUUCCCUUUGCCUGCUGUGUUCUCAGCGAUGGUGACAGGCUUGAACCAUGACAACCACGGCCUUUUCCAUGCACAAGGCAAGGCCGCACACCAGGCCCCUGUGCUGAAUGUGUUCUUGUCGUUGUCGCUGAGUCCCAGCAGUACUCUUCUAAUUGGGCGUCAUUCUCGUUUUGCGGAGGAGGAGACUGAAGCUCAGAGAGAUGAGCCCCCUUGCCAAGUCCCACAGCUAGGACACAGAGGAACCCAGAUACACACGGUCGCCCUAACGCCAAUGUCUGUUAGCGUCCUGCCACCUUCCUUCACCUGCCACCCCAGUGCUCCAUCACAGGCUGGAGCUAAGAGUCCUCCCUGUCAGGGUCUAUCCCAGAGAAAAAGGCAAGAGGGAGAGCAGAGAGAACAGGACAGCUCUGUCAGUGUCUGUGUGUGUUGAACGUGUGUUGGCGUAUUAUGUAGUGUUGGGGUAUUAUAUGUGUUGGGGUGUCGUGUAGUGUUGGGGUGUUGUAGGUGUGUUGGGGGGAUGUUGUGGUUUUAUGCAGUGUUGGAGUGUUGUGCAUAUGAUGAUGUAUUGUGUAGUAUUGGGGGUUUUGUGUGUGUUGUGGUGCGGUGUAGUGUUGCGGGGUGUUGUGUAAUGUUGUAAUGUUGUGUUUGUCAGGGGUGUUGUGUGUGUGUGUGUUGACGCAUUGUGUAGUAUUUGGGGUGUUGUGUGUGUGUUGACCUAUUGUGUACUGCCGGAGGGUGUUGUGGUGGUGUGUGUGUCCGGGAUGGUGUAUGAGUUUAUUGGGGAGUUGUGUAGUGUUGAGAGUGUUGUGUGUGUGUUGGGGUGUUGUGAGGGUGUGUGUUGGCAGUUGUCUGUGACAGGAGGAGAGCAAGACUGUCUCAUGCUUGGUUGGUCGCUCCUUGGCUGAGGACUUCACUCCUCCUGCCAAAGUCCCAACUGUUGCUGCUUCCUGGCCCCCACCCACCCCCCCGACUGAAGAGAAGGAGCAGCUGGCUCUCCAUCUCUUUCCUCUCUGACCUUGAUGUAGGGCUGGGACUGGC